rnacentral:misc_RNA from 1 species
CACACUUCCUAAUCCUAUCUCGAAAUUCUCUCUCUCUUUUCGGAUCAAUUGACCAACGCCUCCUUGAUAUUCGCAGUCGUGGUGCAUGCAGAUCGCCGAGCCCUUUUGCAACGGCGGAUACAUAAUCCGAGGGUUCGAAAUUCCAAGGAUCGGCCGCACAAAAGCUCACAGGUCAAAGUCGACGCGUGCGCACUGGGGCUGUAGUGGUCGGCUUCGCGGAGGAGUCACUGGCGCGCGGCCUCUGUCUCUGCUCUUGUCAAAGGGGUUCAUGCUCACGCUGGCCCUUCGUGUGUGUCUUUAUGAGUGACUGGUUUAACCGCGGGUUGAAAAAGGGCUCUGGGCGAUGACGUGGCGGGGAAGGGCGUGGUGAGCCAAGGAAGGAAGGAGAGCCCGAAAGACCAUCAACACCAACCGAGGUGGUAUCGACCGAGUGCUCGGAGAUCCCCCUACUCGAGGGCCUAUGUGUGCCUGAAUCUGGCAUUAUAAGCAUACUAUCGUAAUUCCGGAGAAGUAGAACCGGAUCCAUUGGACAAGCCGACUGGGAACAGCCUCAGAGUCCAGCAAAAGAAGAUGGAGUCCGUUCGCAACGACAAUUACCAGGGCUACAGCAUGGAGCAGCAACAGCAGCAGCAACAGCAGCAGCAACAGCAAGGGCAAUUCUAUAUAGACCCUGCACAGCAGCAAGGGGGGAUGAGGGCCGGUGGUCCCCCUGUAAUUGGUGGCACUUCGAGGCCCUUCGUAGACCCUGAAGCUCAUGGCGAGGUCGAUCCCACAGCCUAUCCCGAGCCCAAGGAAUCGACCCACAAAAUCCGCGGCCGCUCUGAUCUCAUUGACAUGUUCUGCAACAAUGUCAACCAAGAGCUCCUGUUCGCCAAGACGUUCUACUUCUUCUUCUUCUCCGCCUUCGGUUCCCUCUUCCCGCUCAUGGCCGUGUACUUCAAGCAGAUGGGCAUGAACCCCCUCCAGACCGGCUUCCUCAUCGGCAUCAGGCCCUUCGUGGAAUUCAUCGCAGCUCCCUUCUGGGGCUCCAUCGCUGACAGGUUCCAGAGAGGAAAGCUGAUGUUGCUGUGCUCUGUCAGUGCAUGGAUUAUAUUCACACUUGCCAUAGGUUUCGUCCAGCCUCCAGCAACAUCCUGUGUAGUGUUCAAUGGUACCCAUCAUAUCCUUAAAGAAGCCUAUGCCACUCCUGUCAAGAAACGCAGCAUCAGCAUGGAGGACUAUGCCAUUGAGUCCACCGAGAGCAUGCCCAAGGAGCCGAAAGGAGCGCUCAUAACCGAUCUUCCUGUCAUGCCCCACCUCUUCCACAAGCGGUCCAUCGACGGCAUGAACUAUUACGGCACGGGGUUCGAGGAGACUUCCCUCAACUUCUACUCGCAGCCGCUGUCGAGGAGCAAGCGGGACACGCCCCUCCCACCGGAUCACGUGAUCGGGAAGUCGCCGCACGUUGUUCACUACACCCUGAACUUCAAAGAAUUCAAAGGGACAGAAGACUGGCUCUCCCCUCCCUUCUCUAGCAUCGUCUACAGAUCGACUGACGUGCAAAAGGUCUUCUUCCUCUUGCUCCUGGUUGUCAUUCUUGGGGAAUUCUUCAGCUGUCCUGCCAUCACUCUGGCUGACUCUGCGGUGUUGACGUACUUGGGAGACGAGGCAGAUCACUAUGGACGACAGAGAAUGUUCGGUUCCUUGGGAUGGGGCUUGGCUAUGUUCUUCGUGGGCAUUGCUCUCGACCACUCCACUGCCUUCCCAGGACAUCCCUGUGGACCCCAUGAGAAGGAGCGGAAUUACACCAUAUGCUUUGCUGUGUUCAGCGUUCUCAUGGGUUGUGCACUGAUAACAGCUUCGCAGUUCAAGUUCUACUACUCAGAAGCGUCCAAUGACAUGACCUUGGAGGAGGUGAAGGAGCCAGUGGACAAUGGACCAAGACCCUGGAAUGAGCCCAAGAUACCAAUGCAGGAGCAGAAGUCACAGAGGCAGAAGAUUGAUGAAGCUAUCGGAACAAUCAAAACCAAGAUCUUUGCUCAGACAAUGAAGGAAAUGCCUGAGUGGUUUGUCGUCUUGCGAGAGUUUAAAAACCUUCGCUGCGGCGCCUUCCUAUUCGUAGCCUGGUGGAUGGGCUUUGGCAUUGGGCUGAUCUUUGCUUUCCUUUUCUGGCACUUGCAGGACUAUGGUGGUACCCCAACUGUAUUUGGUAUUGCUAGUAUCAUCAACCAUAUAUCAGAAAUCUUUGCUUACUUCUUCAGCUUCCGACUCAUCUCACAGAUAGGGCACGUAAAGGUGUUGUGUAUUGGGUUGACAGGCAACGUUAUUCGCUUCAUGUACAUUUCCUGGAUCAAGAACCCAUGGUGGGUCUUGCCUUUCGAAUUUAUUCAAGGUAUUACUCAUGCUGCUGUGUGGGCUGCCUGCUGCUCCUACAUUGCACACAACACUCCAUCUCAUCUCCGAGCCUCUUCUCAAGGAGUACUCCAGGGCAUCCAUCAUGGCUUUGGCAGAGGAUGUGGUGCUAUCGUUGGAGGAAUCUUUGUCAGUUACUUUGGUACUGCAGUUGUGUUCCGUUCAUAUGGUGUGGUGUCCUUGAUUGUCUUGGGACUUUUCAUCUUUAUCAACUUCUACCGCAAAGACGUAGGCUUCCAGCCUGAUCUGCCUCCAGAGGAGGACCCAAGGCAGAUGGCGGAAGAAGGAACAGCCCUUGCUCCCCAUGGUGUACCAGCAAAUCCGAUGCCAAGGGCAUUAAGUUCACAAAAGUUGAAUGAGGGAGCACCAGAUGCUGGUUAUGGGACUUACAAUGCAACCAAUGGAAUGCUUGACAUACCAGGUGGUGGAGGUGCUAGCACAAAUCCAUUCAUGCAAGGAGGUGGAGGUGAGGGUGGCGGGGGUGGUGGUGGCUAUAACUACAGCACCAAGCCCGUUCCUCCAGUGUUCUCUGAGACCAAUCCCUUCAGGAGUUACUUUGCACCCACCAGCCCCUUCCAGAAGAAAGAUUCGCCAGUCACUUCUCCUGAUCUCAGUCCAGAUUAUGAAAGCAUCAAACAAAGAUUCCAAGCAUACAAUGAUUUGCUGAACGGAAGCAAUAAUGGCAAAGGAGACACCAAGAUGUUCAAGGCGGCUCCUGCCAUAACCUCACCUCACAAGCCACAACCAGAGGCAACUGCUCAUGACUAUGAAUGGUAGAUACUCAGCUGUCAAAUGAAUAUUUUGCAAUGCUCUUGCUAUGAGAUAAGAAGUUCGUUUUUGAAUUGACCUGAAUUGAACUGUGUUGAUGAUGGUGUCAUCUGCAAAAGAGAAAAAAGUCAGACAUGUCUGUGAAUCACAGAAUUUUGAAAGGCUGUUCACAGUUAGUAACAAAUGAUAGCUUCCACAACUGAAAUCUUUAGACCCAUCGUACUCAUUUGGUAUUGUAUGUAUUGUAAAAUAUUUCUAACAUUAGAGAAUAUUGCUUUAUCAUAGGGCAUAUAUAGCAGACCAAAUAGUUUUAUAACAAUCAGUCAAAGAAGCCACCCAACCACUGACACACUUUUUUUUACAUAUUUUCAUUAUUCAACUUCUUUAGCUGGUAAAACUGCCUUCAUGCACGAUGAGUCAUUGAGUCAUCACCGUGCUGUGUUACAGAGUAUCAUCAGAAUUGCGGAUUCAUGUCCAUUGUGUAAUCACAGGCAUUGUUGUUGUAGCAGAACCACCCACAAAGUGCAUCCUGAUAGGUAGCAAUCUAUACAUAAUCAUUUCACUGUAAAUAUGUUGAUGUCAGCAACCAUCACUGUUGCAGUGUUGCAUCACCACAUAUAGUUGUAUCUGCACACACCCUGUAAGACAUGUAGGCCAGUUCUUUAGUUAAAAUAAUGCAUAGAUGAUAACAUUUGAAUUUUGCCUUAUCAAGUACUUGAAUAGAAGAUACAAGAGAUAUCAAGUGGCUGCUGCUAAUUAUUAACAUGAACCAUAUGUU